rnacentral:rRNA from 1 species
CCUACGGGAGGCAGCAGUAGGGAAUCUUUCACAAUGGGCGAAAGCCUGAUGGAGCAACGCCGCGUGCAGGAUGAAGGCCUUCGGGUUGUAAACUGCUUUUAUAAGCGAGAAAUAUGAUGGUAACUUAUGAAUAAGGAUCGGCUAACUACGUGCCAGCAGCCGCGGUCAUACGUAGGAUCCGAGCAUUAUCCGGAGUGACUGGGUUUAAAGAGUUGCGUUGGUGGCAUAAUAAGUAGCUAGUGAAAUCUGGUGGCUCAACCAUUCAGACUAUUAGCUAAACUGUUAAGCUCGAGACCGUUAGGGGGAACUGGAAUUGCUAGUGUAGGAGUGAAAUCCGUAGAUAUUAGAAGGAACACCAAUAGCGUAGGCAGGUUGCUGGGACGGUUCUGACACUAAGGCACGAAAGCGUAGGGAGCAAACGGGAUUAGAUACCCGAGUAGUC